ACCUGGCUGGCUCAGUCAGUAGAGCAUGCGACUCUUGAUCUCAGGGUUGUGAGUUCGAGCCCCAUGUUGGGGA
rnacentral:tRNA from 1 species